rnacentral:rRNA from 1 species
GAUGAACGCUGGCGGCGUGCUUAACACAUGCAAGUCGAACGAAGCACUUAAGUUUGAUUCUUCGGAUGAAGACUUUUGUGACUGAGCGGCGGACGGGUGAGUAACGCGUGGGUAACCUGCCUCAUACAGGGGGAUAACAGUUAGAAAUGGCUGCUAAUACCGCAUAAGACCACAGUACUGCAUGGUACAGUAGGUAAAAACUCCGGUGGUAUGAGAUGGACCCGCGUCUGAUUAGGUAGUUGGUGAGGUAACGGCCCACCAAGCCGACUAUCAGUAGCCGACCUGAGAGGGUGACCGGCCACAGUUGGGACUGAGACACGGCCCAG